rnacentral:rRNA from 1 species
UAUUUUAAAGAGAGUUUGAUCCUGGCUCAGGACGAACGCUGGCGGCGUGCCUAAUACAUGCAAGUCGAACGAACGGAGGAAGAGCUUGCUCUUCCAAAGUUAGUGGCGGACGGGUGAGUAACACGUGGGCAACCUGCCUGUAAGUUGGGGAUAACUCCGGGAAACCGGGGCUAAUACCGAAUGAUAAAGUGUGGCGCAUGCCACGCUUUUGAAAGAUGGUUUCGGCUAUCGCUUACAGAUGGGCCCGCGGUGCAUUAGCUAGUUGGUAGGGUAAUGGCCUACCAAGGCAACGAUGCAUAGCCGACCUGAGAGGGUGAUCGGCCACACUGGGACUGAGACACGGCCCAGACUCCUACGGGAGGCAGCAGUAGGGAAUCUUCCGCAAUGGACGAAAGUCUGACGGAGCAACGCCGCGUGUAUGAAGAAGGUUUUCGGAUCGUAAAGUACUGUUGUUAGAGAAGAACAAGGAUAAGAGUAACUGCUUGUCCCUUGACGGUAUCUAWCCAGAAAGCCACGGCUAACUA